UGUUCUGUGGGUUGUGGGGCAAAUUUCUGAACGUGGGCCCAGGCUGCCUGCGGUCAUCACUCCCCUCCCGGCAAGGGACGCGGCCUCUGUGCCCGUUUCCUCUAUAUGUCGCUGCCUUGUCCUAAGUCAGACUGCGUUCGAGAUGCUGAACCGAGGUUUCCAGUGGUUUCCUGGCGCUGUGACUCAUCCAGUCACGUGCGUCGUAGAGGCUGCGCCGUGCAUCUCCCUGCGGAGAUGGCGGACACCUUCACAGGGCCAAGUUUACUCUGCUGUCUUGUUCUGGUGCAGCUGUGCUGAGCUAAUAUCCUAUUUGCUUUGAACUCUUCUCUGCUUUCUGCAUACACUUCAUCUCAUUCCUACA
rnacentral:lncRNA from 1 species